AAUCGUAGCGAGAAGCAGGCGAUAAAGGUCAGAACGAAAUCUGAUUAAUGGUGCGCCAGCAAUAAGGGUGGAGAUCGAAUGUGCGUACGUUGGCGCGAAAGAAAGAAGAGAGAGGGCAUCGUUGGAGAGAGACGGAACGUUACAAAACAUCUCGGCGACCUCCAAGUUGACUAUAUAUACUAGCCCAACGCCGCAGACACCACCAAAGGUAUCUGUACAUUUUUAACUUCACCACCAACACUCCAACAAACACCAAAAUGUACAAGAUCGCUCUUGCCCUCUUCGCCCUCGUCGCCGCCGCCUCAGCUGGCUACGUAGCCCCCUACAGCUACCCAGCCUACCCAGCGGCCCCAGCUUACGGGUAUGCAGCACCCUACAGCUACGCCCACGCCCCCGUGGCCGCCCCAGUCGUCUACAAGGCCCCCGUCGUCGCCCACGCUCCCGUUGUAGCCCACGCCCCAGUCGCUGUUGCCCACGCUCCAGUCGCCACCUCAUACGCCAACACCUACAAGGUCUCAGUUAAGGCCCCAGUCGCCUACGCUGCCCCCGCCUACGGCUACGCCGCCCCCGCCUACCACGCCCCCGCCUACGCCCCAGUAGUCAAGACCUACGCCGCCCCCGCCUACGCCCCAUACGCCGCCGCCCCCGUGUACGCUCACGGAUACUCCAGCUACUACCACUAAGCUAGUCGCCUGAGAGCCACCAACACUGCCAUCAACCACUCCCCUCAACUUCUUUUCCUUGAAAAUCUCACUUUUUAAAUUAAUUUAAUUUAUUCUCAGCCAUUAGUGUAAAUAAUUUGCUCAAGUUUCACAAUGAAAACCAAGUCAUGUAAAGUAUCAUGUUUUAUUAACAUGUGAAGAAUAAAACAACCUGCCAUCGAAUACGUUUUGAUAAUUAUUAUUCCGAUGUCCUCU
rnacentral:lncRNA from 1 species